UACGUAGGGUGCAAGCGUUGUCCGGAAUUAUUGGGCGUAAAGAGCUCGUAGGCGGUUUGUCGCGUCUGCUGUGAAAGCCCGGGGCUCAACCCCGGGUCUGCAGUGGGUACGGGCAGACUUGAGUGCGGUAGGGGAGAUUGGAAUUCCUGGUGUAGCGGUGGAAUGCGCAGAUAUCAGGAGGAACACCGAUGGCGAAGGCAGAUCUCUGGGCCGUUACUGACGCUGAGGAGCGAAAGCAUGGGGAGCGAACAGGAUUAGAUACCCCU
rnacentral:rRNA from 1 species